rnacentral:rRNA from 1 species
GACGAACGCUGGCGGCGUGCUUAACACAUGCAAGUCGAACGGUGAAGCGCCUUCCUUGUUGGUGGGGGUGGAUGAGUGGCGAACGGAGGAGUAACACGUCAGUAACCUGCCCCCUUCUGCUGGAUAACCGCAUGAAAGUGUGGCUAAUACGGGCUACUCUGGGUCUGUUGCAUUAUGGGUCUGGGAAAGAUAUUGUUGCGGUGGGCGAUGGGCUCGCGGCCUAUCAGCUUGGUGGUGGGGUGAUGGGCUACCAAGGCGGUGACGGGUAGCCGGCGUGAGAGGGUGGACGGUCAGACUGGGACUGAGACACGGCCGGGACUGCGACGGGGGGCAGCAUCGGGGGAUAGUGAACAGUGGGGGGAAGCCUGAUGCGGCGGCGACGCGGGAGGGAUGGAGGCCUUCGGGUUGUGAACCUCUUUCGCUAGUGAAGCAGGUCUGGCUCGUAUGUGGGUGGGUUGACGGUAGCUGGAGAAGAAGCGCCGGCUAACUACGUG